rnacentral:rRNA from 1 species
UACGUAGGCAGCGAGCGUUGUUCGGAGUUACUGGGCGUAAAGGGUGUGUAGGCGGUUUGGUAAGUCUGGUGUGAAAUCUCCCGGCUCAACUGGGAGGGUGCGCCGGAAACUGCUGGACUCGAGUGCGGGAGAGGAAAGUGGAAUUCCUGGUGUAGCGGUGAAAUGCGUAGAUAUCAGGAGGAACACCGGUGGUGUAGGCGGCUUUCUGGACCGUAACUGACGCUGAGACACGAAAGCGUGGGUAGCAAAC